UCCGCGCGGCUCACGCAGGCGUUCUGUAAGCUCUAACCUGUUAACAUGGGAGCCGAAUUAAAAACCGAAGCGCCACGCAUCCAGUGUGUCGCCGGCCUAACCCAAUUAUUUCUAUGGUCCUGACUGAAGCUAUUAGGGGGACACAUAAAGGGGAGUGAGUUUCAUACUUAUUCAGUCAUGUCCUUUUGUAGUUCCCCUGUAUGUUCCAGGUACAGGUGUAACAUUGUCGGCAGGGUGUGGCCGUAUGAUGGACAACAGACAACUCUCCUGCCUGCCUGAUGAAUACAGCGAUGUGAACCACAGAUGAAACAAGUUGACGAAAGCAUUUAUGGCAAGUAUUCCAGACCCACAUGUAUUUGAUGAAUGAGCUUCUUCUUGUUCUGCCCAUAUUUCAGGACUUGAAGAAGACUUCAAGGGUCUUCUACUUUCAGUUUUGGCCUGACUACGCCUGCUCAGCAACGUGCACGACUGCUUCAACAAAAGCAUCCACAGCAGUCGUAGGAAAUGGCAUUGACGUCGACAAAUGGGACUAUUUUGCUAGGGAUUGCUAUCAUCUGGGAUUUGUUUUCUGUCUAGGGCAAAAACCUCUAUAUGAAUGAAUAUGUUUGUGCAGUGCAACACAACACAAUGGCCACACACCAGGGUGUGGACACUUCCAUGCUCCGUAGCGCCAUCUGAAGUCACUGCAACAUCGAUCAUCUGUGCUCCAUGCUUUGUUCAAUGGUAACGGACCGUCAGUGUGUUUUUUAAUUCAGCUAUGCUGCCAGAUCCUGAAGGCAGACUACAGAAAAGCCAGUUGGCCAGGUAAAGCAGGUACGACUUAUUAUUUUAGUUAUUUUUAAACUCACUGGCUCAUUAUGAUGAGAUCUACUUUGUACAUCUCAAAGAAACAAGGCCAGUUUGACCACCUCUCUUUUACUGCAUAAAAAAGAUACAGAUAAAUCAGUAGUAGCUAAACUACAAAUACUAACCUUGAAUAUGAAUCAAAACACAAAGAAGGCUUGAGAUUUGACUGAAAGCAAAGUGGCUUUAAGUUACAUUCAAAAGCUAAUUUUAUCAUUUUAAAAUUAAGGUUUUUAUUUCAUUGCAUUCACUGUGUAGUUUUUAAUUUUAACUCUUAUUAUGCAAAAACGUUUAAGAUGAAGACCUAUAUGAAGAUAUAUAUGUCGUUCAGGUGAAGGGUAAGGAAAGGUAUGAAAUAUUGAAGAAAAUAAACGACAGUUUGGAACUUAGCGACGUUAUGCCUCCAUGUGACUUGGACAAAUGCAGACACAAACUGAGUUUAUCGGCUCAAACAAGUCUGUAUUUUCACCUCCCAGUCCAAUCAGAACCUGUGGAGGUGUGCGUACAACAGCCAGGCAACUUAAAACUAAGAAACAACAGGAAUGGUAAAAGAUGGAUGUGUCUGCUUUUACUUCCAUGUCACAAAGUCUAAAAGACCAUGCAGGUUCUGGAGCUUUCUGAGGGACCUUUUUGGGCUAAUGAAGCAGAUGAUGGUGAGAUGGAUAGCGGCGUGGAUUUAAGUCUUGAUGAAAAUGGCAUUUUAUGGCUAGAGCCACUCUCAAAUGUCAGUCAUAUAACUGCAUUCACAGAACUUUCAGAGGAACACAGUGACAGCGUGCCCUUGGAGACCGUCUCAGCCUAACGCACCGGGUGUAGGACAGAUUCUUGAAUGGUCACUGCUUACAGGAAAUAAGUGAUUGGACAUGCAAAACUAUGCCAAUUUUAACCUCAAUAUAAGGACAAGUCCUGGCCCACGGACCUGACGGACCUCAGCAAAAAUGCCAUGCUUUAGGUAAUUAGAAUUUUAUUCAUUUGGACUCACAGUUCUGAUGAUGAAAUCUACAUUCUGCAUGUAAGUGGCAAAGAGCGUUUUAGAUUUCUUUCUCUGUGGGUCUCUGUGCAUCAGCUCAGCCAGCCACACAGCAGAAAGAGGAGGCGCACCAGCCCAUGUGCUUAAAGCACUACUGGUCCCAGGAGAUAGCAGAGCUUCCUCGACCCAUCCAGCAUCAAGGUGAGUCUUUAGAAAUGAAACAAUUCAUUUCAACACAAUGUCUGGUUUUCAGUGAGUCGGAGAAGAGAGUGCAUGAUAAGAAGCCCGCAGGAACGGUUUCUCCUCCGACAGGAAGUCCCACUCCAGAGCUCCGCCCUCAUCAGUGCAACACAACACAAUGGCCAGACACCUGGGUGUGGACACUUCCAUGCUCCGUAGAGCCAUCUGGAACUAUAUUCAGGCCAAGUUUGGGAUUCGGUAAGUCUCUUCACUGCUCACAGUUUCAGAAAUAUGUAGCAACAUUGAAUACGUUUAUUCAUUCUACAAAGAACCUUUUAAAAUGCUGAAGAUGUCUCAGAGACUCCCCCGGAGCCUUCACAUAAGCACCAGCGGGAGAUCAUUUGUUUAUGCAUCUCAACAGGUCCAAGGCCAGGUGAAUCAUUAAAAAAAAGAAACACACUUCCACUUGUAUGUACGGAAUACGAUACGAUGACUACGGCUACAGAGGGGUAUAAUAAUCGAUACAGAUUUAGAUCAUAAAAUAAUUUCUUGCAUCUCUAUAAGAAGCAGAGGUCACAGAGUUGUUUUUGUUUUCCAGCGGUUUAACAUACGCUUCUGGCAUGUGUGCACUGAGAUGCUGGACCAGAGGAGGACAGACAUGCUGUACGGACAUGCUGUCUCUCCACUACUCACAGUUUGCAUUCAUGCUGUCAAUGUACCAGACCAGGCAAUCUGAACAAGUUGGUCUGAAAACGGUGUAUCCGGAGUGUAAAAGGGAUCGACAAGUAUAUGGGCAAAUCCACAACAAUGUUAGCCAUGCCCAACGGCCCCUAUUUGUCAGAAGGGAGUUGGUGAAGUUGAUGGUCGAUCAGUAGCUGUGGUUGUGGCCCCCACGCACCAUCCAGUUUAAAGUUCUGAUACUGACGCCACUUUGUAACAUCGACCAUCUGUGCUCAACCCUAUGCUCGAUGGUGACGGGUCGUCACUGUUUUUUUUUUAUGAAGGUCUGUCGGAAAGGGCGUUUUGAGAUGCUUAAAGGUUGCCCAGAGCCACAGAAGAAAGAGGAGGCGCACAAGUCCAUGUGGUGAAAGCGCUACUGGUCUCAGUAGAGAGCAGUGACCCGUCCUGCACCACCAUGUAAACAGUGGACCAGGUGAGUCAUCAAAAAUGCAACAAUUCCAUUUGUAUGUACAGGAUAAGAUAUGAUCACAAUGGCUACAGUGAAAAAAAUCAACAUAAUCGUAAAAGAUGGGCCGGCCUUUAAACUAAUGUGCCACAGCAUGAGACCUUUCAGCGCCAAUGUGAUCAUGUCUGAUACAAAAACUUUUUCCACUUUUCAUAAUCUACAUUCAAUUCAACUUGAAUUGAAUUGAAUCUACUUUGUACAUCUCAAAGAAACAAGGCCAGUUUGACCACCUCUCUUUUACUGCAUAAAAAAGAUACAGAUAAAUCAGUAGUAACUAAACUACAAAUACUAACCUUGAAUAUGAAUCAAAACACAAAGAAGGCUUGAAAUUUGACUGAAAAGUGGCUUUAAGUUACAUUCAAAAGCUAAUUUUAUCAUUUUAAAAUUAAGGUUUUUAUUUCAUUGCAUUCACUGUGUAGUUUUUAAUUUUAACUCUUAUUAUGCAAAAACGUUUAAGAUGAAGACAUAUAUGAAGAUAUAUAUGUCGUUCAGGUGAAGGGUAAGGAAAGGUAUGAAAUAUUGAAGAAAAUAAACGACAGUUUGGAACUUAGCGACGUUAUGCCUCCAUGUGACUUGGACAAAUGCAGACACAAACUGAGUUUAUCGGCUCAAACAAGUCUGUAUUUUCACCUCCCAGUCCAAUCAGAACCUGUGGAGGUGUGCGUACAACAGCCAGGCAACUUAAAACUAAGAAACAACAGGAAUGGUAAAAGAUGGAUGUGUCUGCUUUUACUUCCAUGUCACAAAGUCUAAAAGACCAUGCAGGUUCUGGAGCUUUCUGAGGGACCUUUUUGGGCUAAUGAAGCAGAUGUUGGUGAGAUGGAUAGCAGCGUGGAUUUAAGUCUUGAUGAAAAUGGCAUUUUAUGGCUAGAGCCACUCUCAAAUGUCAGUCAUAUAA